UUGUUCCUCUAUGUCUAGUUUUGCCAGUUCCUGUUUCAGGUCCUUGGUAGUCAUGGUUCCUGCUUUCUUGUGUUGGAGUGUCCUCUGGUGUUUACUGCCUGAACUGUCGCUUCUCUGUUGUCUGCGUAUGGUUGCCUAGCAAC